ACAUUACUAAUCCAUGUGACAGUCAACGCGUUAAUAAAAGCCAUUUAAUGUCGUUAAAAUGAUAUAUAAGUGUACUUGACAUAUUCAUAUUUACACAGAUACUAUAUCAUACCUUUCAUACGUUUGUUUGAGGAAUUUAAUAAAAUAGUUGAUAACAAGCCAAAUAUCUUGGAAAUAAUACAUUUUUCAUAUUCAUAUAUAAAUAAUAUGAAAUGGUCGAUGGUAGAACAUACACGACCUUCGGUAUUACGCGGGUACCAGAUAAAGGGUUAAAAUAAACUUCUCAUUUUUAUUUUGAUGUUACUUUACAUUUUAGAAGGUUGACUUGCCGCAUUGAUUUUUGUAUUAUUUUAAUCACUGUUCUCUAAAGCGUAUUGAGAAAGUUAAAGGGAUAGGAGAAAUUUCAGUUUAAUGAAAGACUUCAUUUAGACAGAGAAUGGCUAUUUCGAUUGAAACGAGAUCUUGGAUCAACCGUGUAAACGUGAUCGAAUCAAUUUUCUUUUCUCUUUUCUUUUUACGAAGCAUUUUCCUCCGGUAGAAUUAUAUUGGCGAGCGUGGCAUUAAAGGCGUUUCUGCAAAGAAUGCAAAUCAAUUUCUUCAUGAAACAAGCAUGGAAGAAACAAGGAGUAGCCGAUCGUGACAAUUUACUCUUCAGGAAGCGUUAAAAGCGAAUUUUUGAGCGACGAUCAGCGCAAAACGGAUGAUUAAUUAUCCUCGAGGAGCGUUGGCCCAUCCUCCGCGAUUUUAUCAGCCAGCCUACGUGUUGGCGACGAUUCAGCCACCGUGAUUGCCUAUUUUACGCUUCAAAAUAAAUCUACGCGGUUGAAUCGUCGAACACGGGACUCGUAGACGACCGUGUCUUUUGUUUCAAACCCCUUGCCUCGCGAUAUCACACUUGUGACGCAACUUACAAUUCAAAUUUAGUGCUAAUUACAAUAAAAUUAUGAAGCAAGAAGUUCAAGUCUCCGUUGAGCAAAAAUUCGAUGCAGAAGAAAAAUGGAUAAUCGAAGAGAAGGGCCAUGGGGAGAGGUAGACUUAAACGCACUUGGUUUUUACGUUUCCACGUGUACGAGGACGAAUGCUAUCGAUUCCAUUGCAGCUUGGAUUGCGACUGAAAGCACCUGGUGGCCGUUUAACGACCGAUCCUCGAGGAAAAUUGGGAAGGAAUUAAGAAAGGGUGCAAGGAGCGGCUAGGGGUUGCGGAUUCGACAGAAAUCAAUUCGUCAUCGCGAUUACGUAAUGAUGGGCGAAGAAAUUCAAGAAUCUUUCUGUUUCGGCGGUUCUUCAAAAGUCUAGCUCGGGAAUAUAAGAGAGAGACGAGAAGACUGACGUAACUAGCUGGCCACGAGGAUGACAAUUGCAAGAGUAGAAAAGGAAUAAAAAAAAAAAAAAAACGAGGCGCAAAGAGAAUGAACAUAUGCUGGAUCUGGGUUAGGGUCGAGUUAACUUCGGGCUAGCUCUGAACCGAACGAUUCGUUAUUGAUUGCGAAUUAUUCUCAGUAAAAUUGAUUGGCACGAAGGUUAAAAAAAUAUUACAAAAUACUGGACCAUGAUGUUUGGACGUUCUCAACCCCAGACCGUUGAUUCUCUUGGUCAACUCGGCGCUGGCUCUUUCGACGACCCCUUGGGCUGAUAUCGA